CCUACGGGUGGCUGCAGUGGGGAAUAUUGGGCAAUGGGCGCAAGCCUGACCCAGCAACGCCGCGUGAGGGAAGAAGGCUUUCGGGUUGUAAACCUCUGUCCUUGGUGACGAAGAAAGUGACGGUAGCCAAGGAGGAAGCCCCGGCUAACUACGUGCCAGCAGCCGCGGUAAUACGUAGGGGGCGAGCGUUGUCCGGAAUUACUGGGCGUAAAGGGUGCGUAGGUGGCCUUUUAAGUUGGAUGUGAAAUACCCGGGCUUAACUUGGGGGGUGCAUCUAAUACUGGAGGGCUAGAGUGCAGGAGAGGGAAGCGGAAUUCCUAGUGUAGCGGUGAAAUGCGUAGAUAUUAGGAGGAACACCAGUGGCGAAGGCGGCUUUCUGGACUGUAACUGACACUGAGGCACGAAAGCGUGGGGAGCAAACAGGAUUAGAUACCCGAGUAGUC
rnacentral:rRNA from 1 species